rnacentral:lncRNA from 1 species
CACUAGGCUUGUCAGGCCCUACCUAUAUGAUGACAAAAUAAUCUCCACUUCACAAAUUCUCAAUAUUUAUUUUCUCCCCUUGUUGGUCUAUGGUCCUCCAUUAAGACCUUCAUCUCAAACACAAAUUGAAAUCACAAUAUUCUCAUCACAAUUUAUAACAUCACUAUCAUUAAUCACACAUCAUCACAUAUACUCAUCACAAUCUUAUAACAUCAAUCUCAUCAAUC